UAUAUUCAGAAACUAUAGAAUAAAGAAUAAAAUGCAUGUGGGGAGUGCCCAAUAAGAUUGCAAGAAUUCCGAUUUGUCGCCGACCAAAGUCUACCACUUCCCGUUACCGACCGAAUCAACCAGAAGCAGGCAUUGAUGGAACAACCGAGCGAAAAGGCCCCUCAGGAUCAAGCCCGGGAAUCUCUCAUCGCGAUAGCGUACUCCUCGCCAGAGGAAUCUAAGCCAUCAGAUGUUUCGCCCGGCAACAAUGACAUUACGAGUGGAAUCAGCAUGGAAAAUGGCGAUGAGGCGGAGAGACUCCGGUCUGAACUCAUCUCACUUUCCUACACCCAGUCACCGGAUGUUGGUGCUUCCCCGUUGCCCAGCAAUGGAUAGCGGUUUGCAGAAAUGUAUAGUUUGUAUUGAAAGGUCAUCUUCUACGUGCCAAAAGACAGGAAUUAUACGACUACGUUCUCUGUGUGUUAGAUAUCUGUCUUAAAUGAUAAAAGCCUGUCUGGUCUCUCUUGACCUAUAU